AGGAAGAGUUUACUUCGUUGUGGCGGAGCCUUCUGUUGGAAUCCAGUCCAGAUGAUAGUUUCUCAGUUAAUGGGUCCAAAACAACAGAUUUUCUUGCUGUUCUUGUUCCUUCAAGUGUUUGCUAUAGCAGCAAAAACGGACACUGGAGACUUUGCUGUUUUGUCUGCUCUAAUGAAGGAUAGCUGGAAGAAUAAGCCAUCGAGUUGGACUGGCGACGAUCCUUGUGGGGAUAAAUGGGAAGGAAUACAAUGCUCGAAUUCUCGUAUCACUGACAUGGUAUUAUCAGGCCAAGGUCUAGCGGGCAAGCUUACUGGAGACAUUGGGAAUUUAAUUGCGUUAGAGAAACUGUAAAUUCUCUUUGCUUUUUCUCUCAAUACCAUAAAAUCACUCCAUGAAAAAACCAUCUUGUUUUGGGAAAGAUUUUAGCAGAAGACCUCUUAGCAUGUUAUGCUUGGAAAGCCUACUUGAUGUGCUGUAUAUUAAAAAAUUACACAAUUUCCUGAUCAUCAGUUUCUGCUUGAUGUAGUGAUUUAUCUCUUAACAAGGAUUUGACAGGAAAUCUUCCACCAACAAUUGGAAAUUUGAAGAACCUUAAAUACCUGUAAGAAAAUUGCUAUUCUUCAAGGUUCUUACUUAUAAUUAGCUUUCACUGGUUAUUUUUCCUUGCUCGCCAGGUCCGUGCAUGGUUGCAGUUUUUCUGGCCCAAUUCCUGACACAAUAGGAUCUCUUAACCAGCUGCUCUACUUGUAAUCUGGAAGUCUUUGUGGAGUGAAUUUUUAAAUUUUAUUUCUAAUGAAUCGGCUGAUAUUUCUUACUGAUGUUCAGAAUCUUUCAUAAUUUAUUGAUGUCUCAUAUUUCUGAAAUCCUUUUCUGUCAUUCUUUGCAGAUCAUUAGGUGCUAACAAUUUCACUGGAGAAAUACCACAUUCCUUUGGCAAUCUGCUUAAACUUUAUUGGCUGGAUAUAACCGACAAUAAUAUUUCAGGAGAAAUUCCAGUCUCUAACGAGACAUCACCUGGUUUAGAUUUGCUAGUAGACAUACAACACUUUCAUUUUGGACAAAAUGAGCUCGAAGGCACAAUUCCACCUCAACUUUUCAGCUCAAAAAUGAAAUUGCUACACGUGUAAGUUUGCUGAAUUGAUUGUGGGCAAAAUCAGAUAGCUACUUGCUCUGUACAUUUGGGAGAAAUUUAUAAAUAUGCAGAUAUUUUAGAAAAUAACCAAAGUAGCAAUUUUAAUGCCAACUGCUUAAGAACACACAAACAUUACACAAAAUUAAUGUUUAGGACUAAAAAAAUAGUAAGUUAUGGGGCUGCAGAGCUCAGAUUUCGCCAAUUUAAUUUACAACAAAUGCUUAAUAGACAUUUAUUUUGAGUAAUCCAGUUCAAAAUCCUAUAACCCUACCUGUUCAAGGAAAAAGGAAAUAUCCAAAUAGCUCAGUGAAGAUCAACUUUUCAUUUAUGAUUUUGUAAAUAUGACUUUGAGCAGGCUUUUCGAUGACAAUCGUCUUACCGGCAGCAUUCCUUCUACAAUAACAUUAGUACGAACCUUGGAAGUGAUAAAGCUGGAUAGGAAUUCAUUGAGUGGAGUUGUGAACUUGAGUGGCCUAGUCAGUUUGACUGAGCUAUACUUGUCGAAUAAUAAAUUAACGGGCCCCAUGCCUGAUCUUGGAGACAUGAAUCGCCUCACCUAUGUGGACAUGAGCAACAACAGUUUCGAUGCAUCAUCAAUUCCACAAUGGUUUUCAAGCCUACAAUCCUUGACAACAUUAAUAAUGGAGAAUACACUUCUUCAAGGGCGAAUACCAGUUAGCCUCUUCAGCUCUGCUCAGUUACAAACAAUUGUACUAAGUAACAAUAAGCUCAAUGGCACCUUGGACAUUGGCUACAAUUAUAGCAGAAAACUGAAGCUCAUUGAUUUGCAGAAAAAUGACAUUACUCAAUUCACAGAAGGUUAUGAAUACAAUGGAGCGCUAAAGUAAGUGACAUCUAUCUCCAAGACUGCUUAAUUACCAUUUGACAUUGGCAGGCUAAUUUGCUAGAUCAUGCAACUGCUUAUCACAACUAUGAGAUGUAAUCUUUUAAUGUCAGGCUUCAAGGUAAUCCUAUUUGUGGAAAGAAGGGUUUACUAGAAAAGUACUGCAUAGUUUCCCAACAGCCACAGGUCCCAAAUUCUACACAACGAAACAAUUGCGACAAUGCCUGCAGAUUAAAUCCAAUUUGCAGCCCCAAUUGCAAAUAUGCAUAUCCAAUCACAGGAACUUUACAGUUCUUGUUUGUUUCCUUCCAAGACUUGGGAGAUGAAAGCUACUACCAAUCUCUCGAGGCCAAUUUGACAAAGACCUUUCAGUCUUAUAAACUUCCUGUAGAUUCAAUUAGAGUGAGUGAUCAAAGGAGGGAUAUGCUUGGUUACCUUGAAUUGAGGCUGCAAAUCUUUCCAUCUGGUAGUGACCGUUUUAACAGAACAGGGUUUUCCAUGAUUACAUCUCAGCUCAACAAUUUUGGGUUUUUCCCGCCCUUAAAUCCUUUUGGAUCGUUCCAUUUCAUUCUCGACAAUAAUGAAUACUUUACAGUACAUAACAAGUCAUCAAAUAUUGGAAUCAUCAUUGGAGCAUCAGCUGUUGGUUUUGCUCUGUUGCUACUAUUACUGGUGGCUUUAGUUUAUGCUUUCAACCACAGAAGAAAAGUUGAAAGGGCUUCUCAACUAAGAGAUCCAUUUGCAUCAUGGGACAACAAUGGGAAAAGUGGAAGCCGUCCUCAAAUAACUGGACUGAGGUGCUUCUCUUUUGAAGAAAUUAAGAAAAGCACUAGCAACUUUUCAGAUGCCAAUAUUAUUGGAACAGGAGGAUAUGGGAAGGUUUACAGAGGGAUUCUUACCGGUGGGAUACAAGUUGCAAUUAAAAGAGCUGAACAAGGAUCAAUGCAGGGUAGUGUUGAGUUCAAAACUGAGAUUGAACUCCUAUCAAAGAUUUAUCACAAAAAUCUCGUUAGCCUACUAGGUUUCUGUUAUGAGGUAGGCGAACAGAUGCUUGUCUACGAGUAUGUUUCAAAUGGUAGUCUAAAGGAUUGCAUUUCAGGGAAGUCAGGUGUCCGAUUAAGUUGGGAAAGAAGACUUAAAAUAGCCCUUGAUUCGGCCAGAGGUCUUGCUUAUUUGCAUGACCAUGUCAACCCACCCAUCAUCCACAGGGAUGUUAAGUCAUCUAACAUUCUAUUGGAUGAUCAGCUAAAUGGAAAAGUUGCUGACUUUGGUCUAUCAAAGCUUCUGGGUCACAGCAGUCAUGUUUCUGAUAAUGUUAAAGGGACAAUGGGCUAUGUAGAUCCUGAAUAUUACUUGACACUGCAUUCAACUGAGAAAAGUGAUGUUUAUAGCUUCGGAGUAGUACUUGUGGAGCUACUAACUGGGGAGAAAGCACUUUCUUUUCAAAGGCCUGAGGAGGAGAGAAAUCUAGCUAUGUAUUUUCUUAAUGCAUUGAAAGAGGAUCGGCUGGUGAAUGUUCUUGAGGAUUGCAUAGCAAAUGAAGGGAAUAUUGAGCAGCUUCAGGAAGUGUCUAACCUUGCAAAGAGAUGCUUAAGAGUGAAGGGAGAGGAAAGGCCUAUGAUGAAAGAAGUAGCAAUGGAACUGGAGGGACUAAGAAUGAUGGUGAAGCAUUCCUGGGUUAACAACAGUAAAUCAAAUUCAGAAGAGACAAAGUAUUUGCUUGCUGAAUCAGUGGAUGUUGUUCAUUAUGGAGAUAUUGCUAGUGCAAGUGCUAGAUAUGACAGUACCAGGAACCAUGUAAUAUUACCAAUACAUGACGGAAGAUAAAUAUCAGCUUCAAACUGUAAUAUUACUCUGCCACUUGAGAAGAAUAAACUCCAGGCUGUGUUGCAACCUUGAGCUCCAGUAUUGCGCUUGAGAAUGUCAGAAACUGAUUGGGCAGUUAAAGAGAUUGAUGAAGGUAGGUAAUCGAGACAGUAGAGUCAGUUGAUUGAAGAAGACGCUAAUUUCCUUCGUAGAAAGCCAAAGAGUGAAUCGGAGUUUCCAAUUCCAUGAGAGUUGAGAGAAUGCUACUUUUGGGUGACAGUUUACAUUGUAAUAAACUACCACAUAAUAAAGCAUGAUAUAUGAUUGAGAAGAAGAGGAUAUCACAGUGAAACAAAACAAGUAGCUAGACUGACGUAAGGAUUUGCAGGGUUUCAACCCAAAUGAGUGACUCACCUGGAAAAUUGAUAGUAGGUAAUCAAGACUGUAGAGUAAGUUGAUUGAAGAGGAAUCGCUAAUAAUUAUAAUAAUUAUUUACAAUCGAUGCGAGAUCAU
rnacentral:misc_RNA from 1 species